rnacentral:rRNA from 1 species
UACGUAGGGUGCAAGCGUUGUCCGGAAUUAUUGGGCGUAAAGGGCUCGUAGGCGGUUUGUCGCGUCGGGAGUGAAAACUCAGGGCUUAACCCUGAGCCUGCUUCCGAUACGGGCAGACUAGAGGUAUGCAGGGGAGAAUGGAAUUCCUGGUGUAGCGGUGGAAUGCGCAGAUAUCAGGAGGAACACCGAUGGCGAAGGCAGGUCACUGGGCCGCAACUGACGCUGAGGAGCGAAAGCAUGGGGAGCGAACAGG